rnacentral:rRNA from 1 species
UGCAGUCGAGCGGAGACGAUCGCUAGCUUGCUAGGAGGCGUCGAGCGGCGGACGGGUGAGUAACGCAUAGGAAUCUACCCAGUCGUGGGGGAUAACCUGAGGAAACUCAGGCUAAUACCGCAUACGUCCUACGGGAGAAAGCGGGGGCUCUUCGGACCUCGCGCGAUUGGAUGAGCCUAUGUCGGAUUAGCUAGUUGGUAAGGUAACGGCUUACCAAGGCGACGAUCCGUAGCUGGUCUGAGAGGAUGAUCAGCCACACCGGGACUGAGACACGGCCCGGACUCCUACGGGAGGCAGCAGUGGGGAAUAUUGGACAAUGGGCGAAAGCCUGAUCCAGCCAUGCCGCGUGUGUGAAGAAGGCUUUCGGGUUGUAAAGCACUUUCAGCGAGGAAGAAAGCGUGCCGUUUAAUACACGGUACGGACGACAUCACUCGCAGAAGAAGCACCGNGCWAAYUCCGUGCNCAGCAGCCGCGGUANAUACGGAGGGKGCNAAGCGUUAANUSGGAAUUACUGGNGCGUAAAGCGCGCGNURGGCNGGCGUGUCACGCCNGGGUGUGAAAGCCCCGGGCUCAACCUGGGANACGGCAUCCGGAACGGGCAGGCUAGAGUGCAGGAGAGGAAGGUAGAAUUNCCCGGUGUAGCGGUGAAAUGCGUAGAGAUCGGGAGGAAUACCAGUGGCGAAGGCGGCCUUCUGGACUGACACUGACGCUGAGGUGCGAAAGCGUGGGUAGCAAACAGGAUUAGAUACCCUGGUAGUCCACGCCGUAAACGAUGUCGACUAGCCGUUGGGUCCCUUGAGGACUUAGUGGCGCAGUUAACGCGAUAAGUCGACCGCCUGGGGAGUACGGCCGCAAGGUUAAAACUCAAAUGAAUUGACGGGGGCCCGCACAAGCGGUGGAGCAUGUGGUUUAAUUCGAUGCAACGCGAAGAACCUUACCUACCCUUGACAUCCUGCGAACCCGGAAGAGAUUCCGGGGUGCCUUCGGGAGCGCAGAGACAGGUGCUGCAUGGCUGUCGUCAGCUCGUGUUGUGAAAUGUUGNGGUUAAGUNCCCGUAACGNAGCGCAACCCUUGUNCCCUAUUUGCCAGCGAUUCNGGUCGGGAACUCNUAGGGAGACUGCNCGGUGACAAACCGGARGAAGGUGGGGACGACGUCAAGUCAUCAUGGCCCUUACGGGUAGGGCUACACACGUGCUACAAUGGCCGGUACAAAGGGUUGCGAAAGCGCGAGCUGAAGCUAAUCCCGAAAAGCCGGUCUCAGUCCGGAUCGGAGUCUGCAACUCGACUCCGCGAAGUCGGAAUCGCUAGUAAUCGUGCAUCAGAAUGGCACGGUGAAUACGUUCCCGGGCCUUGUACACACCGCCCGUCACACCAUGGAAGUGGACUGCACCAGAAGUGGUAGCUUAACCU